GCGAAAACUUUACAAUGCUGGCAACAGCGAUAAGGGAACCUCGAGUGCCAGGUUACAAAUCUGGCUGUCGAGAUGCCUAAAAAGCAUUUCAUAGCAAGGGCCGGGCAAGACCGGUGCCAGCCGCCGCGGUAACACCGGCGGCUCGAGUGGUAACCGUUAUUAUUGGGUCUAAAGGGUCUGUAGCCGGCCGGAUAAGUCUCUUGAGAAAUCUGGCAGCUUAACUGUCAGGCUUUCAGGAGAUACUGUCUGGCUCGAGGCCGGGAGAGGUGAGAGGUACUUCAGGGGUAGGGGUGAAAUCUUGCAAUCCUUGAAGGAACACCAGUGGCGAAAGCGUCUCACCAGAACGGACCUGACGGCAAGGGACGAAAGCUAGGGGCACGAACC
rnacentral:rRNA from 1 species